rnacentral:rRNA from 1 species
AGCGAACGCUGGCGGCAGGCUUAACACAUGCAAGUCGAACGGGCAUCUUCGGAUGUCAGUGGCAGACGGGUGAGUAACACGUGGGAACGUACCCUUCGGUUCGGAAUAACUCAGGGAAACUUGAGCUAAUACCGGAUACGCCCUUUUGGGGAAAGGUUUACUGCCGAAGGAUCGGCCCGCGUCUGAUUAGCUUGUUGGUGCGGUAACGGCCUACCAAGGCGACGAUCAGUAGCUGGUCUGAGAGGAUGAUCAGCCACACUGGGACUGAGACACGGCCCAGACUCCUACGGGAGGCAGCAGUGGGGAAUAUUGGACAAUGGGCGCAAGCCUGAUCCAGCCAUGCCGCGUGAGUGAUGAAGGCCUUAGGGUUGUAAAGCUCUUUUGUCCGGGACGAUAAUGACGGUACCGGAAGAAUAAGCCCCGGCUAACUUCGUG